rnacentral:rRNA from 1 species
UACGGAGGGUGCAAGCGUUGCUCGGAAUUAUUGGGCGUAAAGGGUAGGUAGGUGGUCUUAUUUGUCUGGGGUGAAAGCCUUGAGCUUAACUCAAGAAGUGCCCCAGAAACGGUGAGACUAGAGUCCUGGAGAGGGUCGUGGAAUUCCCGGUGUAGCGGUGAAAUGCGUAGAGAUCGGGAGGAACACCAGAGGCGAAGGCGGCGACCUGGACAAGUACUGACACUCAACUACGAAAGCGUGGGGAGCAAACAGG